rnacentral:rRNA from 1 species
CGAACGCUGGCGGCGUGCCUAAUACAUGCAAGUAGAACGCUGAAGAGAGGAGCUUGCUCUUCUUGGAUGAGUUGCGAACGGGUGAGUAACGCGUAGGUAACCUGCCUUGUAGCGGGGGAUAACUAUUGGAAACGAUAGCUAAUACCGCAUAACAAUGGAUGACACAUGUCAUUUAUUUGAAAGGGGCAAUUGCUCCACUACAAGAUGGACCUGCGUUGUAUUAGCUAGUAGGUGAGGUAACGGCUCACCUAGGCGACGAUACAUAGCCGACCUGAGAGGGUGAGCGGCCACACUGGGACUGAGACACGGCCCAGACUCCUACGGGAGGCAGCAGUAGGGAAUCUUCGGCAAUGGGGGCAACCCGGACCGAGCAACGCCGCGUGAGUGAAGAAGGUUUUCGGAUCGUAAAGCUCUGUUGUAAGUCAAGAACGAGUGUGAGAGUGGAAAGUUCACACUGUGACGGUAGCUUACCAGAAAGGGACGGCUAACUACGUG